rnacentral:tRNA from 1 species
UGGCUCAGUGGUAGAGUACUUGCCUUGCAUGCAUGAGGCCCUAGGUUCGAUUCCUCAG